CCCGUCCCCACUCUUUCUCGGAUUCCUGCGGACACUGACACCGGGACAGCCGGAGACCCCAAGCUGCGGCGACGGCUGAGUCCGGGGCGGCAUGUCCUCUUCUGUGAAGGUGCUGGGUCAGGCCCUCAGACUCCUGCAAGCUGGCUGAUGCUCCCCUGAGGCUGUGCAGAGGAGGCUGACCAUCCUGGACGGGCUGCUGGACUCUUCUGUGCAGUGGCUGAAGAUGGACUUCAUCGCUGGGCUCUCGGUCAGGCUCAAGGUCAUCCCCCAGGUGCUGGCCUGUGCUGAGGUGGCCUGACUCCCGCCCCAGCCCACGUCCACCCAUGUCCUCUGGGAUGAGGCAAAGCUGUGACCACCUCGGCAUUCCCCUUGGCCAGCCAGGGUUCCUGCUGGACUUCAUCUCCUGCCCCAUCAGUCAUUAAAGGUUUCACCUCUGCUGCUCCCAUCACCAUGGGCUUCAGGCAGAUCCAGAAUGGUGUGCCAAGCGGUGCCAUGUCUGCACUCGGGAUCUGAACCCGCGAACCCCGGGCCGCUGAAGCUGAACAUGUGCACUCAACUGCUGCGCCACCAGGCCAGCCCUGCAACAGUCUUGAAUAACAAGGUCCUUGCCUGUUUAACUGCAUUGGGUGCAAGUUUUGCUUUGACAAAAGUAAAAUAUAGAAGCCUUUCGGCAAUAUAUGUUCUUCUCCCCUCUGCUUCUCCUGUUGGAGUUGUCGUAUGAAUCACGUCAACAUGAAUUGAAUGGCACUCCCCGAGCCUGUGGUAGAAUUUGUUCCUUCUAAAGUCAUGCGUAUAUCAAAAGACUGUCGGAAGAGGAAAUCAGCUGUCUCCUCCAUCCCCAUUCUUCCCCUUCUGUGGCUCCUCCUUUGUUCCUGAAGUUCCCAGCUUCCCUCUGGUAUCAUUUCCCUGUAGCCUGAAGAAGCUCCUUUCCCAUCAUUUUAUUCCUAGUUUCCUUUCAUCUUCAUCAACCUUUGUUUUGUUUUCAUUUUUGUUUUGCCUUCAAUCUUUAAGAAUAUCUUUGCUGCACAUAGUAUCUUGAGUUGAUAGAUCUUUUCUUUCAGUCCUUUAAAGAUGUUACUCCAGUCUCUUCUAUGCUCUGUUUUCUGAAGAGAAAUCAUAGACCUUGAAAUUGAUGUAUUUUUGUAUAUGUCAUUUUUCUCUGUCUUCAAGAUUUUUCUUUGUCUUUGAUUUUUAGCAGAUUGAUAAUGAUGUGUCAGGUUGAGGGUUUUCUGAGCUUCUUAGAUGUGUUUCACAAAUUUGUGAAGUUUUCAGCCCUUUUCCCCUCUUAUGUUUUCUUCUUUUUUUUUAAAGGUUUUUUUUUUUUUAGAUUUUUAUU